rnacentral:rRNA from 1 species
CACACAGAGAGGGAGAGAGAGCUUACGAUGUUGUUUAUGCCAUGGAUGGCUAGCUCCUGUUCUCCCGUGCUUCUAAUCACCCAGAGCAGAGGAAGCAGAGGCUGGCUACCUCAGACCAGACCACCCGGAGCGAAGGUUUGUCCCACUUAGAUCUAGCUGGUCUGGGUUGGGGCGGUGGAGCCAUGAGAGAGAGAGAGAGGUGAGAGGUGGCAUCACCGGCACUUGGGUAUGAACAAAAAGCGCCUCCGUUGGCACCUGCGUGAUGGCGGCGCCGGCACAUGCCCGCCUCGACGUGGGAAAACAGCAGCCAUGUGGGGAUAGCGAUGGAGAGGUGGGAGAAAGAGGGGCCCAAAGUGGUGGCGACGCGUAGCACCGCCGUCGGCCGGAGAGGGCACCUAUGGCGGCGGUGUGCGUGGUGGAUCUGGAGCAAUGGGGCCAAAGGGGAUAAGGUUUGGAGCGUGG